ensembl:lincRNA Gm27202 predicted gene 27202
GGGUCACACACUGCAACACUCAUCUGGGAAAGUGAACGGUGACAGUUUGAAUGGUACAGGCUCGACUUUGUGUAGCCUGUACCAUGGCUCACUACAGAAUGCCUGCAUCACAGGGCCCUCCACAAGGCAUCAUCCAUUCACGCUUCGGAGGUCCAUCCAAUUUGUCUCAUGUGGCCACACAGUAGUGCUUUAAGGUACAGCUAUCCUGACUUUUCCUCUAUCUCUCCAUGGCUUCAAAGUCCCUCGGUCAUUUCAGCAGGGUUAAGCUUCUGUAGGGGAGCCUUCCCUCGAGGGACCUCAUUCUAAAACUCACCAGACCUGAGGGGCUGUGAGCAACAACCAGGAGUGGACCGAGCUCUUGGAUGAAGCCCAGCCUUCUUCUUCCUCAACUGCAGAGGAAAUAGAUGUUCUUGCCAUUUAGACCUGGCUCUGCCGGGGUGACCCAAGGCAACAUUGUUUCUAUGACUUGAGACAAACAAAAGAGCAUCCAGAAUGCUAGAGAGAGGGUGUUC